UACAGAGGUCCCAAGCGUUGUUCGGAUUCACUGGGCGUAAAGGGUGCGUAGGCGGUCGGGUAAGUCUAAUGUGAAAUCUCCGGGCCUAACCCGGAAACUGCAUCGGAUACUAUCCGGCUAGAGGAUUGGAUGGGAGACUGGAAUACUUGGUGUAGCAGUGAAAUGCGUAGAUAUCAAGUGGAACACCAGUGGCGAAGGCGAGUCUCUGGACAAUUCCUGACGCUGAGGCACGAAAGCCAGGGGAGCAAACGGG
rnacentral:rRNA from 1 species